UAACAUGAAAAUAAAAUUGUCCAUAGGUGGUGCACAGAUGUGCAUGUGUACAUGUGUGUGUGUGUGUGUGUGUGUGCACGCGCAAGCAUGUGUGCCUUUUUUGGUGAAGCCAGACACUGCCUGUUUAGCCUCAUCAAGCACUGAUACCUGCAGAUAUAGAUAAGUUUCAGAUUUAGACCAAUAAAUGCAUCUAACUGAGAAUUAAUUCUCUUCGUUGUGUGUUUGAAAGGUUAUUUUAUCUUGCCUUUUAGGAGAUAGACAAACCAAACAUUGCUUUAUAACCUUGAAAAGGACACUGAUAAAUUUGCCUUGGGUGCUUUUAUUUGAGAGACUUCACACAUUAUUAUUUCCAUAUGCUUGGAAAAUGUAUGUAAGACUUUAGGAGAUUGUGUCUUUGGAUGGUUCAAUUUAUUCUUACCUCCCCUCUACCAGCAGGAAUCUGCUCUGCUUCAAAGAGAUAAUUCUUUAUCACUGAGCUUAAUUUUUUCCAUUUUCAGUAGUCUCAGGACUCAGGACAUAUUUUUGAGUUUCUUAUAAUCAUAUUCUACUCUGUCCUGAUUACUUUGUUUCAGGAUUCUGAACCUCAUUAAUAAUUAUAAUGAAAUGUUACUAAAUAUCGUAGUAUCUCCAAUGCCCCAACUCUUCUGCUUGUUGGGUGUGGGGCUAUGAUUUAUGAGAGCCCUGACUCUCACUGUAAAGUGCCUGUGACAAGCCAAGGGGACACUAAUGGUCUGGCUUCAGGAACACUGGCACAAUGUUGGAGGACUUGGAAGUGGUGUUGUCAAUGACAGCUGUGAGAACUUGACUGUCUGCCUGGGUCACUGAACAGGAUACUUAGAAGAGCUGUGGUUUCUCAAGAGAACACACUGUCUUUGUGCUUGCAGACGCAUAUUUACUCUUGGGCACAAGUGUGUGUGCUGCUGUGGUGGCCUCCAGCCAUGCUGCUAUUGAUUUUCCUCGGAAAGCUCUCUUUUCUUUUGGACUGAUUCCGAUGUGCCUUAUUUCCCCCUCUUGUCACAGUGAGCUCAUUGAGAGGACAGUCCCAAACUCUAAACUCAGCAGAAACUAGAGUGAACUGGAAUAGCGAGUGGCAGUUUGUACAACUUAGGAUUCAUUGAGCUUUUCUGUCUUUGUUUUUUAAUGAAAUAGUACAUAUUUAUUUGAAAUCCUUCAGUGAAAAUAGAAGAGCAGAAGUGAAAGAUGUUUCUUCCACCCCAGCCCUUACCUCCUACUUCUGCAAGUAAAUGGUACUAAGUAUCUGCCAUGCAGUGUUUUUCAUAGAGAUUAAUAUUUUGUAGUUUUAACAUGAAUAUUGUUAAUUAAAAGCUAUUCUUACUAUUUUGUAUCUUACUUGUUCACAUUCAAAAAGUAUAACAUGACAAACGAGUAAAAACUUGUGAAUCCAUCCAUUUUUACACAAAACAGACACUAAGAGAAAUUUAAGAAAAGGAAAAAAUAUUUCCCAGGCACUUGGCUAAAUUUAAUUUCACACUUCUCACCAUUUUUAUUUCUUUCAGACUAAUUUGGGAUUCGGGUCAUUUUAAGUUAUUUUGUGAAAAGUGCUUAGAUUGGCUCUUAACAUUUGCCAUAAUGCUGCUGUAGAGCAAAUAAACAUGAGCUUCCUGCAUGCUAGAGAAAGGAUUUCUGAGGAGUCACUGACUGGAAAGUGAAUUACCAAGGCAAUCACUCUGGUCUUUAAACAUUCUGAUAGAUUCUUCUGGAUGACUUCUCAAAUAGUUAUCAAUUUACAUAGUCCUUCCACAUAGGGCAACCAAGCGAGUGUGUUAAGCAUAACCCUAAUUUUCUAGUGUGAAAAAUGAGGAUGCAUUGUUUUCUUUUUUUUUUUCUCAAGUUAGUUAAGAUGAGGAUUAGCUGAGGUGACUCAUGUAAAUUAUCUAACGCCUGGAUGCACCAAACCAUCUACCUAGGUAGUCUUCAUUCCCACCUUUUCUCUGUUCCAACUGCCCUACUCAGAGCAAUGGCACAGUGGCGAAUGGCUCUUCCUCAGCCCUGUUUUACUAGGUGAGCUAUAUACGUGUUGUUCCCAGCACUGAGAUACUCAGAACUACAGUACAGCACUUUCUGUUUUAUGUUGGACAGUGUUCUUUUGUGGCUGAUGCCACCACCAAGGUCAGACCCUUCAUGCUUUAGAACUCCUUUGCCUUCUGCUGUGAUUCUUCAUUUCUGUGGUAUUUAGAGUUUCAUACAUAGAUACCAGUUUGAAUGAUUUGAAAUGAAAAUAUCCACCUCUGCUUGGUCUAAGGAGAGGUGGUGAUGUGAUAGCAAGAGCUACAUAAAUCUUGAAGUUGCAUAUAUAUCACCUCAUUGUAAAGAGUUCAAGUUUUUAAAAAAUUAAAAUGUGUAUGAGUGCUCAUGAGUGUGUGUGUGUGUGUGUGUGUGAGUGUGUAUUUGUGUGUGUGCACAAACAUGAGUGCUGUGAGUGCUUGUUGUCAGAGGAGGACAUCUGGUUUAACAGUUCCACCACUCAUUGCCCCAAUCCCUUGCAACAGAAACUCUCACUGAGCCUGGAGCUCGGCUGUGUCCUCCUGUCCCCACUCCCCACAGUGCUGGGGUUGCAGGUACAUAUGCACAGUUUGCUAUGCACAGUUUUUCACACGGAUUUGGGGGAUUUGAACUCAGGUCUUCAUGUUUGUGCAUCAAGUGUCCUCACACACUGUGCAAUGACCCCAUUCUGUAAAUUCUGAGUUCUGAUGGUUUUUUUCAUUAUUCUGCCCAUGUUAUUCCAGGACUCCAUGACACUUUCCAGGGCAUCACCUUUUUUUUAGGUCAAGUUGUACUUUUCCAUAUUUUAUUUUCAUUAGGACUUAACCCACAAUAUUGCUUAAUUAUUCUCUUAAGGCUAGGCUGAGUAUUUUUAGAAGGGAAUUGAUAUGCAAGACCAUUCGGUACAGGGAAGGUGGCUUUACCUUCAAGUAUUUGAUGUGCAUGGAACUGAACCCAAGUUUUGCAGCUAGCUCAAGGAACCUUCUGGGUCUGGAUUUGAUAUACUAUGAGGCUGGAUGAGUUCUUUGUCCAUUAUAAUACUGUUACCUACCUAUGUCACGCUUGUCCGGCUGUCCUCUUCCCAUCAUCAGCACUGUAUCAACUUGUUUAAUCUCCAGACAUCUCUGAACACAAAGCCCAUUUAGUUGUAUUUAAGUUCAGCUAAGUUCUGUGAUGCUUUACUCUGUGCUGGGCACUUUACAAAUUCAUACUCAUUUCUUCUUCCUGCCCUUAAGAGACAACACCCUAGUACCUUUCUCAUGAUACAAUCUCUAAAUACCCUUAACCCAACCACCACACCACAAAAUACAAAAGUGUAUUUUGUCCUUCCUCCAAGCUAUCAGAUCCCAAUUGACCUACCUCCUGCAGGGCCGUAAGGUACUUCAUGUCUUACCCAAUCUCCCUUGAAUGUCCUUCGAUUCGUUAAUGUCUCUUUCAAAGAUUCUAGCCCUUGAAUGUGUUUUGCUUGCUUUUUCAAUUUGUUUUCUUUCUGAGUGAAACACACACACACACACACACACACACACACACACACACACACACACACACACACACACACACACACAAAUAGUUUAAAGCCAUUCUACAGAGCCUGCCCUUCCCAGAGCCCUGUUUACCACCUCGGUUCCAGAUUUUCUGUUUGAUCUUCAAAUGUGUCUGAGUUAGAGAUGUUCAAAGUGUCACAUACAGAAUGGACCCUGCAUGCAGUCGCCUCUGGUUUAAGAUGGCCAGAGCCCAGCCAGGGGCCUCCUUCAGGCUGAUUCUGUCCCAUCGAUCCCACAAGUUUAGACUGGUUGAUCGCAGCACUUCUCCCUGCCAUGCCUUUCCUCUCCAUGAAGUCUCUGAGGCUAGAUUUAUCACAGUUAUCUUCAGAAUAAAAGUCCCCUUGUACUCAAGCAUCAUCAAAGAGCAUGUGGUUUAUUGAGAGUUUAGAAUCAGCAGCUAAGGAAAGGAUUAAUGGAACAUGGAAUCCCCUAAGCUCCAUUUUCUUAGCUGUGGCCCUUGGGUCUUCUCUCCCCUCUUACCCCUCCUUUUACUAUUAGCACUUAGCUUCAUGAGCUACUACUUCAUUCCCAGAAUACUCUCUCUAGGGUUUUCCCCAUCUCCCUCCUUUAAAUAUAUGAGGCAAUUUAAUGCUGCUGGCUUAGCUGUACCAAUAGGGUGACCAUCCUUAGGAGCACUCAGCAAACGGCAGAUUGUCUACUCCUCAGGAGCUAUCUGUUGCAGAAGACAGGAAACAGUUGCAAACAGCAAAACACAUUUCCCUAUCACAGGAGGCAACAAUUUUUAAGCUGGUUUUCUUUUCUUACAGACAAAGAAAUCCAGAUUCAGAGGGGACACAUCAGUUAAGACAACAGCUGAUUACUAGAGAGGCAAACACGGAGCCCAGUACUGGAACUGGCUUGCUCACUGUGAUAUUAGCGCAAGUGAUGAAUAGGUUUGGUGCUUUGGUAGCAAUGGCCAUUUCAAGAUUUGAUUGAGCACUGGAGGUCAGAAAAAUAGCCCAAAGAGACCAAAAUGCUUAUUCUUUGAAGUUGCAUUGUAGAUGUAUUCGGUGCUUUGAGAAAUGAGAAAGCAAACCUGAACACAAUGUGUGUGGGAGGAUGCUGUACAGUCCAGAUUGGAAUCAGAGAUGUGUUCUCCUCCUAUGCAGACCGAAGGAAGAAAAUCCUCUUAGUGAAUCUCCUUGACGUGUUCAAGAAAGCAUUAUCUUUACAGCUUGGAGUUUGUGAAGUCCACAGACUAAGAACGCACCAGCAGGGAGGAAAGCGCUCACUUUGUCCCUGCCACUUCACACUCAGGGUCACAGGCAAUGACAGAACAAAACUGGCACCACAGAUCAAAUUGCGGAAACAUUGGUUUUGGAUCCUUGUACUUUUGCCUCUGAAGUCUCCGCAGGGGGGGUUCCUGUGGUCCCUCUCUGGUAGAGCCUCACAGAUUCCAUCUGAAGUGUAGUUGCUUGCCAAAUCUACUCAUCAUCCCCCUCCUCCCUGACUGUGGAACCCAACUAUCCCUCUCAUCUUCAAGGAGAAUUAUGCUUUAUGCUCUUCAUCAACAAAAUAAAAGGUCAAGCCCUUAACCUCUAACAAACCCCCAUUUCCAUCUGCAGUCCAGCAGUAGCUCAAAGGCAAGACAGGAACAAGAGAGAAAGCCCCUUCUUUAGUCUCAAACUCCCGGUCUGUUUUUAGCAAAGCCAUUAAUAGGAACAGAAUGGUGUGGAUCAGCUUUUCAAUAUGCAAGAUGGACGGAGGUAACCAGUUUUCUCGUGUAGUGGAUUAUGGGGGGAAAACCAUCACUAUCUCCAAAUUACCCUCUGACCACCAAAGCACACUGACUACAGGAAUAUUUACCUAACAGGUUUCAAGUUCAGCACGGCUACCUCCUCUGUUUUUCUUGGAUCUCUCUGCCUCCCACCCACCAAAGUCUUCUUUCGAUUGCCCCCUCCCCAGCCUAUCUGGCACCACUGGUAAUAAACGAACUGUUUUCUCCAUGACCUCUAAGCCUUCUACUCCACGGCAAGCAACGUGGAGUGCACACUCAGCAGGCUGCAAGCGAGCCGGGAGCCAGUCUGUCCGCGAGCCUUUCCAGCCAUAAAACCUCACACUGCCCACUGUUUUUUGUGUUUUGGUCAACGUGGAGCCCCAAGCCGACCCAGCCUCUCCGUCGCACCUGGCUGCAAUCCCUGACCCACACAGCACCCCAGCGCCGACCAAACAACAAAAAGCACCAAACAGCAACAGAUUCCUUUGUUUUACAUGCAAAUCCUACCUCCGGUAGUUGUCACAUCUUCCUCAAAAGACACGCUUAAUUUUUAAUGACAGCGAUCCCGUACAGUCCUCCACACAGCAGCCGGUACUCAUCUUUACCCUUCGUGCUGGCAGCCUUUGUGGACCAUUGAUGUCACACCCUCGCUAACUCAUGGCUUUAAUACUCCUCGCUCAAAAUGUCUGCAAGAGUUUGGAAGGACAAUAGGAGUGACGGGCACUCUAGACAGCCAUGCUUAACAUUAGUUCUCUGAAGCUCUGUGGAAACCCGUUCAGACUGUUUUUAAAAGCGUGCAGGGGGUAGGAUUUAUUAGCCUAUAACAGGCAUGCUGCUUCUGUUUUUAUUAAAUACUGUAAUAGGCUGUCUGUUAGCAUCUCUGUGAUAGGUCCAGCAUUUCUUCCCCACUGCUUUCGAAUUUUCAGACUGAAAAGGGAGCGAACCUGAUCUGACUCCUCACACCGCCACCACCCUGCCUAUGAGGUCAGAUUUCCAAAUCCUCUAACUUUGGGAGAAAGAACUCCGCUUGUAAAUAAGGUUGCUACAGGAGCUUGAUCUUGGGAGUAAACACCUUUGGAAUCCCCAGGGGUUCCUUUUACUCCCAGCAAGGGACUCCUACUCUCACAAGUUAGAGAAAGAAGUUAGUUCUGGAGCUAGGUGAGAGCAUUCUUUCAAACAGGGAAAGUUGUCAUGGGUGACUGAAGUUGCCUUAUGGUAUGUACUUACCUGAAGGCUCAAAUGAUGUAUCAAAUGGAUAGCAUGCCAUGCAUCAGGAAGCAGAUUAACUGGUUAGGGCAUGGCUACUGCAAAGCUCCUUGCUCCAGUUUGAGGUCAUCCUUUUUCCUGAAUCACUGUCUACAUGGGAAGAAUGAAUGGGGGGGGGGUAGAGGGACUCAGGAUGGGUGCGCUGCCUUGAUGCCAUUUGUUUGCCCAAUCAUGACUAUGGAAGCACUGACCAGAGACGAAGCUAUUACAUGGAUGCAAACGUCACUCUGAAAAGUAUUCUUCCACACAGGAAAGCACAAAUAAAAGUUCUAGGUAGAGAAUGUUUUGUGCUCCAACUACCCAGGUUUAGUCUUUUUCUUCUGUUUUUCUUUUUCCUUUCUUGCUACCUCAGAACGGUAGUUAUAUAGUAGUUACUAUGGAAACAGAGUGGUCGGCUCCAAGGGAGGGGCUUAGAGAACAGCAGAUGCAAUAUGGUUGGGAAUGUUCUAUGUUGGACUGUGGAAUUGAAAUCAAGCAAUGGGUAACAAACUGCAUAAGCCCACUACCAAGGACACUCUAGUUCAGCACUCAAGGGAUGCCAUUCUAAGUCCCCACAGUUUAAUUAUGGGCAUUUGUGCUGUUUGAAAGUACCGCACUGAGCAGACCCAUAUCCUAUUCUAUGCAAUGACUGGACAUUAGAAUUGCUCCUACAUCGGUCUUAAGAUUUUGCUUUCAUCUCUCUUUCUUUCCCAAGAUCCUGGUUGUUGGUUUGAAUAUGCCCUGAUUGUAUUUGAAUUUUAGUUGUUAUUUGACUGGUUAUAGUUUCUUCUUGGGAAUAAAAUGUGAUUUGGUAGGAAAAAGACCCUCCUUGUAUCACAAACAAUAAUCAUAUUUUAUUCUAAGUGAGUGUCCUUACAUGAUUUACUUGGAGCUCAUCCUAGGUCUCAAUGUGAAAUUUGAAUUUUGAAAGGUAAUCCUGCGUUCAUUGAAUUGCUACAACAGAAAGAAGAUUCUCUCUCUCUCCCCCACCCCCCUCUCAUUUUCAUUUCUUCAGGUAGAAAAGAAACAUAUUUUUAAAAAAACUUUUGCUCAUCAACCUAGUCAUCAAAGACAAAACAUUUCUUACCAGAAUAGUUGAAUAUUCACAGCUGUAAAGUGAAGAACUGAAGACUGGCAUUGGUGUCUAAUCUCAUGUUACACCCCAUGCUGAAGAUCCAGAUCAAAUGGUAUCUUUCAAGUCCACUCCUUCAGAAAGAGAGAAACCUAUGCACAGAUGUUGACAGUUUGUUCUGCCAUCCUGAAAAGAGCUGAAGUGAAGAAGGCAUUUGGUCUCUCCCAGCAUAGCUUCCCUGUCCAGAGGAGGAAGUGUGGACCAGCAGAAGGCAGUGGUACAUCAGAAGCAGUUGACAUGAGAAAACUUUGUUACCAUCAUGGAAUGGAGAAGGAAGAACCAUAGCCAAGACUGGCCCUCCAGUAGAAUCUUUCCAACAUGUCCAUUGAGACCCGGGAUGUUCAAAAGUCUGAUGUGAGUCAAACAUGCAAAAAACCAUGGUGUGGUGUCUUGAAAAUUCAACUUACAGACUUUGAGAAGAAAAAUUUUGAAAUUUUGUGUUCUGUAAAGCUCUGUGGCAAGUGUGUAAGUCAGCUUUUUGACAUCAUUCAAACUGAACUUUUAACUUAAAAGCAUAUGUUAUGUGUAUGGGUGCAUUACCUGCCUGUAUGUCUAUGUACCUCAUUUGUCUGUACCUGUGAAGCCAGAGGAAGGCAUCAGAUUCCCUGGAACUGGAGCUGCAGAUGGUUGUGAGCUGCCAUGUGGGGGCUGCAAAUCCAACCCAGGACCUCUUGAAGAGCACCAGUGCUCUUAACCUCUGAGCCAUCUAUUAGGCUUCUUAAAUCCAGACUUUCAAAGAAAAGUACAGGAAACAAAACAUUUUUAUGGCAGGAAGUUAUGUGGAAUCUGGCACUUCCUCUGUCAUCAGAGAACUUCUGUGCCAUUAGUAAGAAUGAACAGAGAUCAUGAACUGGGAAUGCUGUGCAAAAGAGAAGCUCAGUGGCUUCUUGGUGAGUCAAAGGAGACUCACCCUGCUCCUGGAUGGAAGAGGUGUAUUGCCUUUCCAAUGCUGUGUGAACUUGGAUACUAUGCAAGGAAACCUUUACCUUGCUCAAAACUUUCUGCCAAUAUUUUACUCAAUCACACGUUAAGUUGCAUAUGAGUUUAUGAGCUGGUCUUUAACUUUUCAUUUCUUUUGUUGUUGUUUGUUUUAUUUAUUUUUUGAGACAGGGUUUCUCUGUGUAACAGCACUAGCUGUUCUGGAACUUAUCUGUAGACCAGGCUGGCCUCAAACUCACAGAGAUCCACAUGACUCUGCCUCCUGAGUGCUGGGAUUAAAGGUGUGCACCAUCACCACCCAGCUUCAUUUUGUUUCGUUGAAAAAGAUUCUCAUCUAGCCUAAACUGGAUUCCAUAUGUAGCUGAGGUUGGCCUUAAACUUCAGAUCUUUCAGCCUCUGCCUCCUGAGACUUAGGACUUAAAUAGUAGGGUUAUAAGUGUGUGGCAACACACCCUACUGGAAUGUACAUUUUAUUCCCUGACAGUGAAGUAGCUCAGAUUUUAUGUGUAUGGUGUGUGUGUGUGUGUGUGUGUGUGUGUGUGUGUGUGUGUGUGUGUGUGUGUGUGUGGUUUGAAUAUCAUUCCUAACUUAUCCUUCAAAAUUAUACUAAUUUCAAAAUUAUGUUUUCAACCUGGAUCACUGAGUAGUUAGAAACAUCACAUCACUUUAAAUGAGGGUGAAUAUUACUACAAAAGAUAAUGAGGGAAACCAAAAUAACAUGAAAAUACUGAGAUAUGUGUCAAAACUGAUGUCUCUAAGGGUUCUUAUACAGGGCUUUGCAGAACCAUGGUUGGCAGCAUGAUCUAACCAUGUCAGAGACACCCAAUGGAAAGCAGUCAUAUGUACCCCAGGGUGCAAUGCCAUACUGAUGAAGAGGAGAUUGUGAUACAGUAUGUUCAAUGAAGGCAUCUCAGUGUGAGCCUUUCCUUGAGCUAAUCAAUUGAUGGAGGAGCUUCAAGUUCAGUUGAAUGUCCAGUGAAAAAGAUCUCCAAAUAAAUAAAUAAAUAAAUAAAUAAAUAAAUAAAUAAAUAAAUGCCUGGAAAUUGACAGCUGGAGGAUGCACAGCUAGCAAAAGAAAACAGAAUACUUCCUGGAGAGUCACUUGACCUGUGGGGCCUCUGAUGUCUCAAAGAAACUUCUUACUAGAAUUUUCUUUGCAAUUAUUGAAUUCAAAAAUAUUGAUGUGGGUUGGCUCCUCUUUAGCUUAAACUUAGGAAAGUAACCUACUCCAGGUGUCUAGAAGUAGACUGAUUUCUGUCUAUUUAGUUUCCUGGAAGUAGAAACCACCACCCUCUUAGAAUGCUGUUGUUGGAUCCUCCUAAGAAGGCAUGUGAUGGCCAACUAGACAACAGAGAAAAAUUAUACUCCAUCUGUAUUGACUUAGAAGCUAGAAAGGAAAAGGUUAUCCAAGAUGAAUACAUGGCCAGGAAAUAGAGAAGACAAAUAAUGAGUGUUUGUGUGUGUGUGUGUGUGUGUGUGUGAGCGAGAGAGAGAGAGAGAGAGAGAGAGAGAGAGAGAGAGAGAGUAUGAGUGAACCACUAAAGAAAACUCAAGCUCUGGUUGCAAUUUUCCAAGUUAGAUACUUGGUUUCUCAACUAAAGUAUUUUUAUUAAAUAUCCAAAAGGCUAGUCACUGUCGAGAUGUAAGAUCAAGUGUAUGAUAUAUUUUGAGGCACAGAGUAAAAAUAUAAAGAGGCAGAAGGUGAUAAUACUUGAUGAUUUGAUACAAAACCCCCAGCAGGUAAAAAUAGCAGCUAUGGGGGCAAAGCAGGAACAGUUUUUUAAAAAGGAGAAUGAUUUACUAUUUUAAAUUACCAAAGAUUCCUUUCCCUGAGCAGAAAAAGUAUCAAAACUUAUUUUAAGCAGGAUGCAAAGAUUUUUCCAGUCAUAGUCUUAAAAUAGCAGCACACUGAGAGACCCUCAUGUGCAUUAAAUAGAUACUUACUGAAACCAAUCAAUGCAGAUAGAUGAAGAGAAGCCAUGGGGAGCUUGCAUACCCACAUAGACAUUCACAGACCCUGCACAGGGAGAGGCCAGCCAUCAAAACACAGAGGCCUCUAGAAUCAGGAUGAUCUUCCUGGAGAAGGAACAGAGGAUUUUAGAUGUGCUCAGAAACAAAGGUAUGCAACUCACCAGAGAACUCCACUUGCACCUCAAUCUCAAAGGGAGUUUGGAGGGUCCUGUUGGGAUGUGAUGGUCCAUCAUGAUUGUCAAUUUGAUGGAAGUUAUAGCCACCAAAGAAACAAAUCUGUUGUCAUGUCUGAAGAAUUUUCUAGAUGAGAUUUAUUGAGAUGGGAAGACCCAUUUUAAAUGUCGUUGUCAUCAUUCCAGGCAUUUUGUUCCCAGACUGAAUGAGAAGCAGAAAUUGAGCUGAGUACUUACCACUCUCUGAUGAAACAUGAAACACUCCUGCACCAAAUCUUCCACACCAAGGUGUGAUACACCCUGGAACUGUGAGCCACAAUCAGCUCUUCCCCCCUCAGCUUGCCUUUGUCAGGUAUUUUAUCAUAGCAACAAUAAAAGUUAGUGAUAGAGGGAGAAAUUCAGUGUGAUUUCUUUCCUCACACUUAGCUUACAGUCUUUAAAGCCAUCAUCUCCAGUAAGCCUGGCUUGCAGAGUCCUCUCUGCUCUGCUGCCCUCAGAGGGGUUUCAGCCAUACUCAGUCAUGGCAGGUACUCAAGUUAUCCUGACUUCAUAAAACCACAAAGUGUGAGUUCUUACCCACAGUCUUAGGCUCUAGAUGACAAACAGAUUUAUUCCAACCUUUUUUUUUUUUUUUUGGUUUUUAUAAAAUUUCACCUGUGCUUCUGCUUCUCAGGGUUAUCUCAUCUGAGUAACUCAUUGUUACUGAUUCGGUGGCUUCCCUGAUAAUUCAUUUAUGAGCGUUCUUGUUUUCUUUUGAGAUCAACUUUAGUGACUUACUGGAAAGUCCUGCUUUAUCUACAUUUUCAAAUGAUUUUUUUCUUUUUCUAUUUUCUUAUGUAUAUGCGUGUGUGUGUGUGUGUGUGUGUGUGUGUGUGUGUGUGUGUGUGCUUGGAGGCCUGAAGCUGAUGUCAGGAAUUAUCCUCUGUGUUCUACAUUAUCCACUGAGGCAGGGUCUCUCAAUCACAUCCAGAGCCCACUCCAUGGUUCAUCUAGUUAGACCCUGUACACCUAUGUCACACUUCCUGGUACUGGAAUUGUAGGUAGGCUUCCUGGACAACCCAAAAUUUGCAUAGUUUUUUCAGGAGCUGAAUGCCAAAUGCUUUGACCACUGAGCUAUCUGCCAGUCCCCAAAUUUUAUUUUCCCCUAAUGAUCUUAAUCUCCUGUGUUUACAAUUACAUCUUCUUUUUGUUAUAUAUUUUUGCUCACUGUGUUUCCUUUAAUCAUGUUUGGAGAACUUACAAUGAUCCAUGAAAUUUAACUUUUAAAUUAGUUUCUUAUUCAGUUUUCCAUUUCCUGUUUUAUUAGUCACUGAUGGUUUUUAAUGGCUUUUCUAUUGUCUAGUUUCUCUUUUUUUUAAUGUUGAAAGUUUUUUUAGAUUUUGUUUUUAUUUAUAUAUAAAUAUAUCUUUAUAUUAUAGGAGGUGUUGUGCACAUGAUUGCAGUUCCUAGAAGGGCCAAAAGAGUGUCAGAUCUUCUGUAGCUGGGGUUACAGAUGUAAUGAGUUGCCUGAUGUGGGUGUUGGGGUCCAAACUCAGGUCCCCUGCAAGAGUAGUGUGUACUAUUAAUUACUGAACUGUCUCUAUAGUCCUGCAUGGUGCAUUUUGAUACUAAAGACCUUGUAUGCUUUCCACUAAAGAUCGUGUAUCCUAUACACAUGUUCCACGUGGGAAGCUGUCAUAUGAAGGAAUUCCCACAUAGUCUUCUAUAGAGAAGUAAUCAUUUCAUUUGACUUCCCUUCAUACAACAGCAAAUCAGGAGUAUGGUUUUUCUGUUAAACAGUUUUAUUUCUAAGUAUCUGCCUUGGUUACCUCUGUGUUAUUUAUUUCUAUCUUUAUUAUAUUUGAAAAUAUAAAGUACAUAAAAUCAAAUUUUUAAAAAAAACAAAAUGGAAAGAUAGGCUUAGGGGGUCUCACCUGUAAUUCCAGAACUCAAGAGGCUAAGACAGGAGUAUCACUGUAAAUUCCAGACCAGCUAAGAAUAAUACUAUCUUAAAAAGGAAACAAAAACAUAAAGUCCUUCCAUGUUAAUUAUUAGUUGUCAUCAUGACUGUUAUUGCAAUUACAUAGUAGUUGUCACUCUCCACUCAAAAGACAUGUUUUUUGUUUGUUUGUUUGUUUGUUUGUUUGUUUUGUUUUUUUUCGAGAUAGGGUUUCUCUAUGUAGCUUUGGAGCCUAUC